rnacentral:lncRNA from 1 species
CCAGAGUCAGAAUUGGUAUACAAAUAAUGUUAAUACCGAGAGUUAGCUGGGCGUUACAACAAUAAUUGGCGUCUCGAAUUGGUGUACAUAGCAAGAUUCAUGUAAUGUUAUUGUAAAAACUUAAAAAGGGAAAUAUCGUGAUGUUCUCUAUUAGAAGUUGUGAGGAUGAAGAAAUUGAAUGAUGUGGAAGAUAAGUACCAAGUGUGCAGCGGUGACGUGAUUUGUUGGGUUUCUCUUAUGUAAUAGGUAAGGUACUCGUCAUUCGAUUAAUUCCCUGAUUUUGCCUAGGACUCCUAUUAAAUAAAGCAGAAAAUAGCAAAGUGGAAAAGUUGUCUCCCUUUGGUUAUUUUUAAACUCAAUGUGGCAGUGUGGGAGUACUCGGCGAUGUGGAAUUAGAUCGAUUGGUUUUACACGAUCACGUUUUCAC